UACGAAGGGGGCUAGCGUUGUUCGGAUUUACUGGGCGUAAAGCGCACGUAGGCGGAUUGUUAAGUCAGGGGUGAAAUCCUGGAGCUCAACUCCAGAACUGCCUUCGAUACUGGCGAUCUUGAGUCCGGAAGAGGUGAGUGGAACUCCUAGUGUAGAGGUGGAAUUCGUAGAUAUUAGGAAGAACACCAGUGGCGAAGGCGGCUCACUGGUCCGGUACUGACGCUGAGGUGCGAAAGCGUGGGGAGCAAACAGG
rnacentral:rRNA from 1 species